rnacentral:lncRNA from 1 species
UUGGAUGGGGAGGACAGAUAGGAACAAGGUCUUCUCAGAAUAAAAGGUAUAGAGAUGAGGAAUUUGAACCUGAGAGCUCAUUAAGGACAAUGACUGAAUCUUACAGAAAAAAAAAAGUGUCUUGUCAAGGACUUGUCAUAGCAAACUUUUAAACAAUAUAACUGGAACAGCAUCACAUUUGAAUGAGCAGCAACAAUAAUAUUGAAUACAAGAAGGGAGAGAAAGUGAGGCAUUUAUUGCAGGGCACCAAGCAAGGAGAAUUGUGCAGUUCAUCCUGAAGACCCAAACUCCCUGAAGUCUUACAUGAUAUUCCAGACUUGUGCUUCCCUUGCCCCAGUCUUGGAAUCACCCAUUUUGAGCAUUUCGUGGGCUUAUUGGAGAUAUCCUCAAAUUGCUCAUCAUCACUUACCUACUGCACUCUACAGUAAGUAAAUAACUCUACUGUACUGCUGGCCUCUUGUUUUUUCCCAUGGCUCUCUUAUCUGGGCAGUCCACUUAUACUCAAUGGUCUCUGUGGGAACGCAGAGUCUAGGAAGUCUUCCAAGUCAAAAGACAGUUAUGGGAAAGUUCCUUUUUUUUCCUCACAUGGCCACAUCUGAUUUUUGGGAAACACACAUUUGAACCAUCAUCUGCAGAAAUUUUGUUUAUUUUAACACAAUCCUUUAUAUGUUGCCACAUGAAAUAUCAGUCAAAUUCUCACCCUUUGUAUUUCCUAUGCAUGUAACAGUUUAUAGUUUUCCUUAUAAUGGAAGAAGACUUAUAUUAAAUUCUUCAAAUGGCCUCCUUGUAGUCUCUAAUGCCAGGCUUAAAGUGAAAAGAAAAAAGUAACCUUUUUUGCUUUCCCUAUUGAAAUAUGGAUUGCUAUUUGAGGCAAUAUUCUAUGCAAAAAUAAGAAAUCCAAAUUUCUACAUCUUUGUUGAAACAUCAGAUUUACUUACAUAGCCAGAAUAUGGGUGACGGUCAGAAAACUCAUUUUUAUCCACUUCCUAUGUGAAUGAAAUAUUGGUUGCUUAAAAUAGUCUUUAAAAUAUAAAAAUAUCCACCAUCUCUUAGGAUCUCAGCUAAAACGGAGAAAGAAUCCCAUUUUAGCAUCAUUUUGUGCAAAGAUGAAUAGGAAGUUGCUGUAUAGGAGUUCACAUUGUAAGAGAAAAUAAUAGGUGUACAAUAUUUACUGCCAGCCUGAUACUUGCUUUAAAGACACAUAAACUGUAUAAGUUGGGAUUCCCAGAGAGUGGGAAAAUAAUUGUGUCAAAAACUGUGUCUGGUUACGUAAGGUAAAUUUUAAAAGGCGGGUAAUAUUUGAGGGGUACUUGAAAGAUGGCACUUAAAAGUUUGGCCGUAAUAGAAUAGCUAAAGAAUAUCCAGUCAUAAGGAGCUGUAUGUUCAAAAGCAAAUAGUAAUGAGAGAAUAAUUUUUUGGGGACGAAGAAAAAAGGAACAAGCUUUGGUAGUGGCAGAAAAUGGGGAAUAACAAUUAUUUUGGUUAAGUAUUUGGGGCAAGGUGUGAAAGGCUUUAUCCCAUAUUUUUAGAAAAUGGAAAAUUAUUAAGGAUUUUUAACUCUGGAGAUUAAUAUGAUGAGAUUUGGUUGAAAGUAAAAUAAAGUGCUCCACAAUAUGUUUUGCAUGAUGAAAUGCUUCAAGGCAGAGAAGUAGAAGAUCCUGUAGAAACUUCUCAAAAAUCAGGUUCAGUAGUUAAAUAUGUGUGAGAUAUCUAUAUUCAACUUACCACACUCAUUAGCCUAGUGAAUAUUCUGACAAUUUUUGAGAUAAAAGAAUCUAUUAAUACUGAAUUAAUUCAACAUCAAUCAAAUGUGUUAGCAGAUAUAAUUUUAAGAACUAUUAAUAUCUUACAGAGAUAUAAAAUAGUAAGAAAAUAGCUUCCAGAUAGCCUGGUGUUGAUGACAUUUAUGAGAGUCAUCGACAUUUAUGAGAGUCAUCAACGUUUAUGACAGAGGCUAUUUAGAAAGUGAUUGCAACUGUUUCCAUGAAAGAUUUUGAGAGUCUUUACUACAACAGUGACAGCUGGGAUAAUGCAGAAUACCAAUGUAGAAGAUUUACUUUAUGAGAGACAUUGAGAGAUUGUGCAAAAAGGAGUAAAGUUUCACUCUGAGAGCUCCACCUUUCAAUUGCUUGUGGAUGUAAAACUAUUCACAGAAAAUAAGCAGGCACGCAAAAGUUAUGUUUAACUUUCAUUAAACCAUCUAUUUGGUCAUCUUCUCAGAAGUAUUAUGCAUUGCAUCAGAUAGUGUUUUAUUGCCUUCCUGAAUGUGGAUGCCACUUGCUAAUUCAUUUGCUAAAUGUUUGAUAAUUCAACACCCAAAGGAUUUAUCACUCUACCCCAGACUCACAGCAGACUCCUUUCUCAAUGAUGGGAAAAUACAUCUGAAUAAUAACAAUCAAAACUUAUUUAGCAAAGAAGGAAGUGUCCAGUUUUAUGAAGUAAGUAUCCUGCUUAAAUAAACAGUGAUACACUAUGAAAUGCCUUAACUAUAUCUUGUAUUUUCUUUCUGAUAAUGUCUGCAACUUGGAAGGAUUUAUGCUUAAAAAAAACAGCUAUGUUUAUAGUUUGAGAAAACUUUCUAUUUCUUGUUGAAAAACUAUAUUAUGAUUUUCAUUCCCAGCCAUAGUGCUGACUAUACACCCUGGGGGAGGGGGGAAAACCAUUGACACGGAAUACAUAGAAAUGCUGUUUCUAAAUGCGUAGCUGACAUUGCAAGAUAUUGAGGGAAAUCCCCAGAAAUAUAAAAUGGAAAAGAAGCUGAAAAACACAGCUAAAGUGAGGCCUAAGACCAUGGGUAUCUUGAGGGCAUUUACUAAGUUUAGUAGCUGAAAUAUUGGGUUUUAAUUUUGGUAUAAGUGAAAGGAAGCAAGGCUUUGGUUGUGUCUAAGGUGGUUACUUAGAAAUAAGAGUUUUACCUAAAAGAAGAAAAUUGGAAAGGCUCAACUUUAGGAAAGUGUAAUUUUAAAAUGUCUUCCCACAGGCAACAUCAGGCAAUAAUAUAUAUCUGUAUCAGCUCACAUCCAAGGCAGAAUUUUAAAAACAGAAAAAGAAAAAUUUCGUUAGCCAUUUAUAAUGAUAUGCCUGGCCUCAUAAAGAUACUGGUUUGGGUUUACAAUUUUUGAGUAGUUAUUAAGUCAAUGAUCAAUUUAAAUUAGGAUUAGGUUAAUAUUUUAUAGCAUUCUGAAGUACGUGGCAGAGAGAAAUUCUCUCUGGAAAGAGACCUAUCUAUCUAUAGGUCUCUGUAGAUAGAUAGACCUAUCUAUCACCUCACCAAGUAUCAAAAGAUUAGAGACAAAAAUAGAUACAAUUGAAAGAAAAAUAGAUGAUUACAUAACCAUAGUGGAAAAUUAUGAAACAUCAAAUCUCAUUAAUUAUCAGAACAAAUGCAUCCAAAUUAAUAUGCAUAUUGGACGUUUUAUAAAUCAGCAAAAUUUAUCCAAAUAUUUAUGUGUAUAUAAAACAAUGCACCUUUAAAUUAGAAAGUGAAUAUUGUUAUAUGGUUCUUUGUCUAAAUAAACACAAUAAUAACAAUUUAAAAAUACUGUAAAAAGCAAGAUAAUAAGAAUAUGACAUCAAAAUCCAUGAAAAACAGCUGAAAAAGCAUUUAGCAAGAUGGUGUCUUACAUUCUAAUCACUAAAAUAUGAAAUAAAAAACAAAAAAGAGGCUCCAAACUGCCAAAGUCUGUUCUGUUGAAUGUAUCAAUAAGAUAGAAAAAAAAGACAUAGUUGAUGAGACAGAGAGAAAGGGAGUAAUUAAUGAACUAUAUUAGAAAAAAAAUGAGCAAAGAAUAACCACAGAUUAAAUUAUUAACAAUAUACUAAAAUAGUUUAGGCAAAUCAUUGUAAAAUCCUAGAGAAAUUCACAAUUUCUAGAAUAAAUAGGGCAUCAAAUAAGCAAUAAGUCAAUUGAAAAGUUGAGAAGACCCAACCAUUAAGUACAUUUUAUCAGUAUUUUAAAAUAUAUACCUCUAUAUGUCACUCAUCAAAAAUAUUUCAGAUAUAGUUAAUUUAAAAAUAAGAUUACAAAGUGGCAAUUAAUCAUCUAAUAUAUAUGAUUUACAGAGUAAUAACUAAUAAUUUUAUAUACAUAAAUAUAUAUAUAUAUAUAGAGAGAGAGAGAGUCUGAAAUCUUUUUAUAUUCUGUGAGGUCACAGAUCUCUUUGCAGAGAUGACUGUUCCUCUGCCAGGAACUUCAGAAUGUUCUAAACUAUUCACCUAAUUUAAAUUGGUCUUUGACCUAAUAACUAAUCAAAAAGCAUAUACAUGUACACCCUUACAGAUAUUACAAAAAUCAAUUAACCUUUUGAGGCUAGUAUUAACUUCAUGUAGUACAAGAUAUUAAAAGAAUAAAAAAUCUCCAACAUGCUCUAUAUAAAUGUUUAUAGAUGUAAUUCCUAAAUAAGAUGUUCACAAAUAAAAUAGACAUCUAGAAACUGUAUAAAAAUAUGCCAUAGAACAUUUCUAUUUAAACAAAAUAAUGCAACGAUAGCUUAACAUUAGAAAAUAUAGUUUAACACAUUAAAUCAAAAGAAAAUGCAUAUAAGUAUUUUAGCUAUUAUAGUUAAAAAAAUAAAAUACAGCAUCCAUUCAUGAUAAAAUGUCUUAAAAACCAUGAGUAGAAAAUAUAACUUAUUUUCCCUGAAAAUAAAAGUAUCAUAAAUUUAUAAUUAGUAUCAUAUUUAAUAAUAUGUUGGAGACAUCCUUUUAAAGUCAGGAAAAAGCAUACUUGCUUACGCCAUGUGUAUUUAACAUUAUACAAAAAGAUAUUAUACCUAGCAUGUUAAGACAAAAUGGAGUAAGCAAUGAUAAGAAUGUUAAAAAAAUGUAAAACUGACUCCAAAUAUUAUAAAUCAUAUACUAUUGAAAAUAAUAUAAUUGCCUACUCAAAUAAACUCAAAAUCUCAAAUAAACUGAAGAAAAUUAUUGAAAUUAUUUUAAAAACUAAAGAAUUGAAGACAAUUUGCUAUAUAAAAAGUUAACAUACAACAACCAGUUACAUAUUUAUAUACCAAGAAGAAGUAGCUAGAAAACAUAAUUUAAAGAAUGUAAUACCAAUAAAAUUAUGCACAUGGUUUUUAAUGGGCCACAUUUCUUUUAUAAGAAAAAUGACUGCCAUUGUAGGAAUUCUUUGUUGUUGGCAUUUCAUCUUGGCUACCCAUAAUUUUUCCUUGGGCUCCCAAUUCCCAGUCACUCACAUUCUUUGUAUUAUAGAAACAAUCUGAAUAGAGUCAUGGACUUUAAUUAGUUCAUUAGACUUUAAGUUUAAUUAGAUUUUAAUCGGUUUAAUUAGACUUUAAUUUGUUAACAGUAUGUAGCAUUUCCAUCCAACAGGAUGAAAAGUUGAACAAUCUCCUCAAAAAGCAACUAUAAAGGUGAAUGAAAGUGUCAAAACAAUUAUUUUAGCAUUCUGGAAAUUAACCAAAGAUAUGCAUGCAAAUGAAGAGAGAAGUGUUAUUCAUGAGAAUCACUGAAGCAUGGGCAGAUAUAGGGCAAUUUUAUAGUUUUCUUGAUGAAGACCAUUCCUAUGCCUCACCUGUAGCUCUACUGCUAGACAGUUCAACCUGGAUGAGACAGGCUAUGAAACCAAUAGUCUUAGCGCUGGUACCAGGGAAACUCACUUGAUUUAGAAUCUUGUCAGUUCCAGAAGUGCUCUCAUGAACAAGUAAAUAAGGAGGACCAGCAGUUCUGCUAGCCUGAACUAGAUUCUGUUUGGUGCAGGUAGCAGACUGUCAGACUAGCAGAGGAUUUUGUAGGAAAGACCAAGAAGUUAGGGAUACGAGGAAAGCUUGUUAAGUUCUUCAUGUAUCUCAGGUUGACAGGAGUUGUUGCCAUGCAAACAACGUUGUGUAGUUAGCCCAUGCCACCCCACAUUCCUGGUUGAUGAAGCCAAUAACAAACACAUACACACACACACACACACACACACACACACACGGUGAGAGAGAGAUAGAGAGAUUGAAACUGAUUGGCAGAAUCUACAAUUAAGGGGAAAAGUUGAGCUGAAAAUGGCCUGGAAUCUGAAUGUUCUUUACUACAAGCACAUAGAUCCAUCUUUAGAGAGUGGAAUCCUUACUGGCUUGAGUUGUUUGAGUGCAUACUCUGGCCAACUUUUGGCUGAACACAGAAUAUGCAGACACAGGGGCAACCUCUAGGAAUCCAGGCAUACAAAUAAGCAGAAGAAAAUAAACUGAGCAAGAUACACACACAGAGAUAUAUCAUAGUCAAGCUAGUGAAAUCCAAAGAAAAAAAGCAAUUCUUGAAAGCAGUAAGAAAAAAAAUAGCUCAUCAUAUACAGGAAAGGAAAGACAUCAUUAGUGCUUGACUUCUUAUUAGCAAAAAUGGAGGGCCAAAAGUAACGGAAAGACAUUUUAAAGAGUGGAAUAAAAGUACCUGUCAACUAGGAAUUAUAUAUUGAGAAAAUUCAUCAUUAAAAUGUGAGGGUAAAAUAAUAUUUUAUUCAGAUGAAAAACUGUGAUAACAUUUUACCAGCAAUUGUGUGUUAAAAUAAAUAGUAAAGGAUAUCUGUCAGGCUAAAAGAAAGUGACAGUAGGAAAUGAUUUUAAUUCAUAUGUUGAAAUGAGGAACAUCAGAUACAGUAAAUGUAGCAUAAGUACAAUUUGGGAGGCCAAGGCGGGUGGAUCACCUGAGGUCGGGAGUUCGAGACCAGCCUGGUCAACGUGUUGAAACCCCAUCUCUACUAAAAAUACAAAAAUUAGCCAGGCGUGGUGGCAGGCACCUGUAUUCCCAGCUACUCAGGAGGCUGAGGCAGGAGAAUUGGUUGAACCUGGGAGGCAGAAGUUGCAGUGAGCCAAGGCUGUGUCACUGCACUCCAGCCUGGGUGACAGAGCGAGACUGUCUCAAAAAAAAAAAAAAAAGAAAAAAUAUAUAACAUUUAUAUAUAUUAUAUUUUUGGUUUCUUUAACUUCUUAUAACAAUCUACAGGGCAAUAAACAUAAUACUCUUUUAUGAAAUUAUAUAGAUGUAGUGUGAAUGACAAUAAAGAAAAAAAAAGAGGAGGAAAAAGAGAAAAUAUAUUGGAGCAACAUUUCUAUAUUUUUACCAGAAUGAGGUCAGUAUUAUUCUGAAGUAGAGUAUAAUAAGUUAAGAUCUUUUUUAAACCCUUUAGCAAAAACUAAGUAAAUAGCUAGAAAAGGGAUUAAAAUGACAGAAGAAAUUAAAUGGUAGAGAAAAAGUAUAUUUGACACAAAAUAAGACAUUAGAAGAGAAAGAGAAGAACAAAAAUAUCAUAAAUAAAAUAGAAAGCAAAGAGCAAAAUGAUGGCCUAAAAUUUUACCAAAUCAAUAAUGAUAUAUUUUGAGUGAAUUAACUUAGCAUUUAAAUGUAAAAGCUAAAACUACUAGAAGAAGACAAAGAUAAAACUUUCAUGACAUUGAGGUGGGUAAAAAUUCCUUAGAUAGGCCAGGUGCCGUGGCUCGUGCCUGUAAUCCCAGCACUCUGGGAGGCUGAGGGGGUGGAUAACUUGAGGCCAGGAGUUCGAGACCAGCCUGGCCAACAUGGCAAAACCCCAUAUCUUCUUAAAAAAGAAAAAAACACAGAAAUUAGCCAGGCAUAGUGGCACAUGUCUGUAAUCCCAGCUACUCAGGUGGCUAAGGGACAUGAAUUGUUUGAAACCAGAAGGUGAAAGUUUGCAGUGAGCUGAGAUGUCACCACUGUGCUCCAGCCUGGGCUACAGAGUGAGACUCUGUCUUCAAAAAAAAAAAAAAGGAAAAAAAAAUUGAAAGAAAAAAAUUCUUAGAUAUACCACCAAAAGCAUAAACCUUAAAAGAAAAAGAAAGAGAAAAAAAGACACCGUUGUACUUCAAAAGACACCUUUAAGUAAAUUAAAACACAAAAUACAAACUGGGAGAAUGUAUUGUAUUUGUAAGUGAUUUGUGGUGAACUGACCCUAUGUGACACCCAAUAUCUUCCUCCGGGUGCCCAUGUCUUUCUUCAAUCCCUUCCCAUUCAAUGUAGGUAGGGCUUUGACUUGCUUGUAACCCAGAAUAUGGCAAAACGAUGAACUAUCACUCCAAUCAUUAGUUAUGUUAUGUAAGACUUUGUCUUAGCAGAAUGCAGUAAGAGAUUCUCCUUGCUAGCUUGAUAAACUAAGCAGCCAUGAUGAGGAAGCCCAAGUGUCAAGCAACUAUGGACAGCCUCUAGGAAUCAUGGGUAGCCUUUAGGAACAGUGGAUACCAUUUAGGACCUUAGGAAAGCCUCCAGACAAUGGCCAGCAAAAAGCUGGAACCCUCAGUCAUAUAUCAAAAAAAAAAAAGAAGAAGAAGAAGAAGAAUUCCAACAACCUGAAUAAGCUUGGAAGUAGAUCUUUCCCUGAUUGAGCCUACAGAGGAAAGUGCUGCCCUGUCCAAAUGUUGAUGACAGCCUAGUGAGAUUGAGUGGAGGACCCUGUUAAGUCAUGCCCAAACUUCUGGCUCAUAGAAAUUGUGAGAUAAUAGAUGCAUGUGUUGUUUAAAGCCACUAAAUUUGUGGUAAUUGGUUAUGCAGUAAUAUAAAUCAAAUACACUUUAUGUCUUACAAAAUAUAUAAAAAUAGAUGCAAAUGAUAUAAAUAAACUUUAAAUUCAAUAUUAAGAGUCAAAUGUUUCAAUUAAAAUGAUAAAAUGAUUUAAUAAGCAUGUAUUAAAAAAUAUAAAUGGUUAAUAAACACAGAAAGGGUGCUCAGCAUCGUUACUCUUUUGAGAAACCCAAAUUAAAAGCAUAACGAGAUAACACUAUCCACCCACUAGGAGGGCUAUAAUCAGAAGGAUAGAUAAUGCCAAGUGCUGGCCAGAAUGUGGAGAAACGAAAACUUGCACAUAAUGCUGGUGGGAAUGUAAGUUGAUAUAACCACGUUGGAAAAAGAUUUUCCUCAUUUUUUUAAUAGUCAAGCAAAAACUCAUCAUAUGAGCCAGCAAUUUCAUUCUUAUACAUAUUACCUAAGGAAAAAAGAAUAUGUAUGUCCACAUAAAGAUUGUAUAUGAAUGUUCAUAACCACAUUGUUUGUAAUAGCUGGAACUAAUUCAACAUCAGCUGGAAAGUAGAUAAGCACAAUGUGGUAUAUCUAUACGAUAGAAUACUAUUCAGCAAUACAAAGAAGAAAAUACUGAUUCAUGUUACAUCUUGGACAUACAUCAAAAACAUCAUGCUGUGUGAAAGAAACGAGGGGAAAAGUCUCCAUAUUAUAAACUUGUAUUUACAUAAAAUUAGAAAGCAAAUUUACAUAGGCAGAAAGAAAUCAGUGAUUUCCUGGGUCUGGCUGGAGUUAGAGGCAGAAAUAGACUGCAGACUGAGUGACUGGCAGAACAUUUUAGGGAUGAUGGAAAUGUUCUAAAUGUUUUAAUGUUCUGGAUAACGCUGAUGGUUGCACAACUUUAAAAACUGACUGAAAAUCAUUAAAUUGUAUACUCACCUGGGUGGAAUUUUUAUACAUAAAUUAUAUCUCAAUACAGCUGAUAAAAUAAAACAGAAGGGGAAUAUGGGGUAAACACAUAUUGUUGUUCUGCCUGUUAACAAUGGUCCUUUCCGAUAGCUAGCUUCUCCUUCCUCUACUGAUUAAUUUGGAGCUAGAAACACACAACUCAAGCUAGUUCAAAUAAAAUAUAGUUCUCUGGAAUCUGAAACUUGAAAUAAAAGACACAAAAAUUGAGCUAUAUUUGAACUCAAACAUAGUUCUCCUAUUCCAUCUCUUUCUGCUACAGAGAUCCUGAGAGGCAUUUGGUUUCUGCCUUCUCUAGUGAUUCAUGUUGUCAUGUCUGUGAGUGGAUUUUCUUCCAACAAAUUCAUUUUUCCCUAUGUUGGAGUAGUUUUCUAUUAUUUACAAUCAAAUCAAACACAACUAAUGUAGAAUUAAAUUUAAAAUCUACAGAUGGUAUACUUUAACAAGAGGACAUAUAAAUUGCAAGUCACUUAUUUUGUCUUUAUAAUAGUGUCUGUACCUUUAGUAACUCAUCUUCAAAUCUGUAAACAAGAAGGAAAUUGACAAACAGGGGGAUUUGCAAAGUCUUAAAGUUAUAAAAAAAUGGGUAUUCUUUGAGAGAUUAGUAAUAGACCCAUUAGAGGAUUAAGGAAGUAAUAAUUAUUGUCCAAAUAUCUACUAAAAUGAUUGAUAGAGAAUUUUUAUAUGAUAUCUUAUUUAAUCAUACACAAGAUAAGUUAUGUUUUUAUAUUUUAUAAUUUGAGGAAACUGACAAAAUAAGAAUAUGUACUUAUAUAGUAAUAGAAAAUAUUUAUGGAUCAACUGCUAGGUAUCAAGAUUUGUUCUAAGAGCUGUAUGUAAUUUAUUCUUCACAAGAACCCUAUGAAAUAAGAACAGUUAUCAUUACCACCCACUUUGAGAAGAAAAGAAGAGGCUCACAGAUGUGAAUCAGUUUGUCAAUGAAAUCUAGUAAGUGGCAAAACUGUAUUGGAAUGAAAUCAGUCUGGUUGGAGUCCUUAAUUGUGUAACCCCUGAACUAUAAAUCCUCUUCCAUUGCUUCAUGUAUGAUAUCUGUAAAGUGGCAGAGCUACAGUUGGAAUAUAUUUAUUUACUUCUAAAGUCUGUGGUAUUUACUUAUCAACAUACUCUUCAACAUCUAAAGUAACAUGUCUGGUGGCGGGCAGGAAGUAGAAAGAAGAGGUGCAGUGGGGAAGCUACAUAUAGGAAUCAUUUUUUUCUUGUGCAUUUUAGGGAGGACUGAGGUAACUGAAUGAAAUUGGAGGGUGGUACAGAGUGUGACUUCAUGAUACUAGAGAUGCAAUUUGAAAACUGUUAGAUUGCAGAGAGAAAAGGAUUUUCUCCCACACCAUGUUCUAAGUUUCUCUAAAACAACCCUUUUAUUUUAGCUCUCCAGGGUCAUGAUGGUAAUACACAAGAGUAAGGCUAGUGUUUAGAUGCUUUGGCUCUGCAUCACCCUGGAUGACUCCAAAUUAUAUCCCUUCUCUGCUCCAAAUUUUCUCUGCAAUUUAAGCUUCUUCUCUCUGCCAGGGUUGUCUCACAAUUUAAGGUGUGGUCCUCAAUAUUUCUCUGUUCCAUUUCACUAGUCUUUAGAACAUUAUAACAUAGUGAUGCAUAAUUUAUUUUCAUGCAAGUAUUAUCUCUAAUGACCCCACAUAAAGUAAUUUUGUAAUGUAAGAAUGGCCUUUUUUCCAUUACACAAAAGCAAUUUUCUCUGACAUA